rnacentral:rRNA from 1 species
UGGGGAAUUUUGCGCAAUGGGGGAAACCCUGACGCAGCAACGCCGCGUGGAGGAUGAAAUCCCUUGGGAUGUAAACUCCUUUCGAUCGGGACGAUUAUGACGGUACCGGAAGAAGAAGCCCCGGCUAACUUCGUGCCAGCAGCCGCGGUAAUACGAGGGGGGCAAGCGUUGUUCGGAAUUAUUGGGCGUAAAGGGCGCGUAGGCGGUUUGACAAGUCUGAUGUGAAAUCUAUGGGCUCAACCCAUAGCCUGCAUCGGAAACUGUCGGGCUUGAGUAUGGGAGAGGUGAGUGGAAUUUCCGGUGUAGCGGUGAAAUGCGUAGAUAUCGGAAGGAACACCUGUGGCGAAAGCGGCUCACUGGACCAUUACUGACGCUGAGGCGCGAAAGCUAGGGGAGCAAACA